GGAUGUGAGGGUGAUCUGGCUAUGACACCUGUCACCCCACUGAUCGCCAGGGUUGAUUCGGUUGAUCUGGCUGGCUGGGCAGGUGUCCCCUUCCUCCCUCAGUGCUCCAUGUGUGACCCUCUGGAAGCUGCACACUGGCUCUAAGAGGACAACGACCCCUGAUAGAGGAGGACCGUUCCUCGGUCACGGUGUACGAGUAGCUGCGCUCCCCUGCUAGAACCUCCAAAUAAGCUCUCAAGAAAAUAAUGAGUAGAGAACAUAAACAGGUGAGUCAUAAAAGUAAAAAUAGAAGGAAACAACUGGGCCUACUGUUCAAUCU
rnacentral:snRNA from 1 species